rnacentral:rRNA from 1 species
GGGGUUAAAAUUAAUAAAAUAAAAUUAAUAAAAAAAAUUUUAAUAUUAAAAUAUUUAAUGGGGGUUAAAGUAUUUUUAAUAGAAAAAAUUUUAAGUUUUAUAGUUUAUUAGUAUUGUAAAAGAAAUUUGAAAUAGUUUUGAAAAUAAAUUUAUAAAAAAGUAAAUUUAAAUUAUUGUAUCUUGUGUAUCAGAGUUUAUUAAAAAUUUUUUAAAUAAUAAAUUUCUCGAAUUUAAAAGAGUUAAUUAAUUAAAAAAUUUAUUGUUUUAUAAAUAUUUUAAAUAAUUAAUUGGAAAUGAAAUGUUAUUCGUUUUUAAAUAUAUCUAGUUUUUUUAGAAAAAAAUUUAAUUUUUAAUUAAAAUAAAAAAUUAAUUAAUUAAUUAAUUAAUUUUUUAUUUUAAUUGAAUAUUUUAAGGGAUAAGCUUUAAAUUAAAUUUAUAUAAUUAAUUUUAAAUGAUUAAUGAAAUUUAUAUAAUUUAUAUUGUUAAUAAAUUUUAAUUUAUUAUAAAUAAUUUCAUUUAAAUUAAAAUUUAAAUUAAGAAAUUUAUAUUUUUAUAAAAAAAUAUUUUUUAACAAUUUAUAUUUAAUUAUAAUGAUAAAAUUAGUAUAUAAAUUUUAAAUAAGUAAUUUUUAUAUUAUGAUAAUUAUUUUUAAGGAAUUCGACAAAAAUAUAUAUUCACCUGUUUAUCAAAAACAUGUCUUUUUGUUUAUAAUUUAAAGUCUAAUCUGCCCACUGAUAAAAAAAAAUUAAAGGGCUGCAGUAUUUUGACUGUACAAAGGUAGCAUAAUCAUUAGUCUCUUAAUUGGUGACUUGUAUGAAAGAUUGGAUGAAAUAUAAAUUGUCUCUGAAGUAUAUUAUUGAAAUUAAUUUUUUAAUUAAAAAGUUAAAAUAAAUUAAAAAGACGAGAAGACCCUAUAGAGUUUUAUAUUUUUAUAAAUUUAAAUUAUAAAUAAAUUUGUAAUUAAUUUAAAUUUAUAAAAAUAUUUUGUUGGGGUGAUAAAAAAAUUUAAUUAACUUUUUUUGAAAUUAAACAAUAAUAAAUGAUUUUUUGAUCCAAUAAUAUUGAUUAUAAGAAAAAAUUACCUUAGGGAUAACAGCGUAAUUUUUUUUUUUAGUUCAAAUAAGAAAAAAAGUUUGCGACCUCGAUGUUGGAUUAAGAUAAAAUUUAAAUGCAAAAGUUUAAAAUUUUUGAUCUGUUCGAUCAUUAAAAUCUUACAUGAUCUGAGUUCAAACCGGUGUAAGCCAGGUUGGUUUCUAUCUUUUAAUAUAAAUGUAAUAUUUUAGUACGAAAGGAUCAAGUAUUGUAAUUAAAUUAAAUUUAUUGAAUAUUAAUAAGUUAUAAUUAGAAUUAUA